UAGGGAAUCUUCCACAAUGGACGCAAGUCUGAUGGAGCAACGCCGCGUGAGUGAGGAAGGCUUUCGGGUCGUAAAACUCUGUUAUUGAAGAAGAACGUGUGUGACAGUAACUGGUCAUGCAGUGACGGUAUUCAAUCAGAAAGUCACGGCUAACUACGUGCCAGCAGCCGCGGUAAUACGUAGGUGGCAAGCGUUGUCCGGAUUUAUUGGGCGUAAAGCGAGUGCAGGCGGUCUUUUAAGUCUGAUGUGAAAGCCUUCGGCUUAACCGAAGAAGGGCAUCGGAAACUGGGAGACUUGAGUGCAGAAGAGGAGAGUGGAACUCCAUGUGUAGCGGUGAAAUGCGUAGAUAUAUGGAAGAACACCAGUGGCGAAGGCGGCUCUCUGGUCUGUAACUGACGCUGAGGCUCGAAAGCGUGGGUAGCAAACAGGAUUAGAUACCUUGGUAGUCCACGCCGUAAACGAUGAAUACUAAGUGUUGGAGGGUUUCCGCCCUUCAGUGCUGCAGCUAACGCAUUAAGUAUUCCGCCUGGGGAAUACGACCGCAAGGUUGAAAC
rnacentral:rRNA from 1 species